rnacentral:rRNA from 1 species
UACGUAGGGGGCGAGCGUUGUCCGGAUUUACUGGGCGUAAAACGCUUGUAGGCGGCCACGCCAAUUCGGAUGUGAAAUCUCCCGGCUUAACUGGGAGCGGUCAUUCGAUACUGGCGGGCUCGAGGCAGGUAGGGGGAAGCGGAAUUCCCGGUGUAGUGGUGGAAUGCGUAGAUAUCGGGAGGAACACCAGUGGCGAAAGCGGCUUCCUGGACCAGUACCGACGUUCAGGCACGAAACCGUGGGGAGCAAACAGG